UUUGUACUUCCUCCGUCCCAAAAUUCUUGUCUUAAAUUUGUCUAAAUACGGAUGUAUCUAGUUACAUUUUAGCGUUAGAUACAUCUGUAUCUAAACAAAUGUAAGACAAGAAUUUUGGGACGGAGGGAAUACUAC
rnacentral:pre_miRNA from 1 species